UGGGGAAUAUUGGACAAUGGGGGAAACCCUGAUCCAGCAAUGCCGCGUGUGUGAAGAAGGCCUGCGGGUUGUAAAGCACUUUCAGUGGGGAGGAGGAUACAUAGGUUAAGAGCUGAUGUAUUGGACGUUACUCACAGAAGAAGCACCGGCUAACUCCGUGCCAGCAGCCGCGGUAAUACGGAGGGUGCAAGCGUUAAUCGGAAUGACUGGGCGUAAAGGGUGCGUAGGUGGUUAGAUAAGUUAUCUGUGAAAUCCCUGGGCUUAACCUGGGCAGGUCAGAUAAAACUGUUUAACUCGAGUAUGGGAGAGGGUAGUGGAAUUUCCGGUGUAGCGGUGAAAUGCGUAGAGAUCGGAAGGAACACCGGUGGCGAAGGCGGCUACCUGGCCUAAUACUGACACUGAAGCACGAAAGCGUGGGGAGCAAACAGG
rnacentral:rRNA from 1 species